UCCUCAGAUAUGGAUUGCCACGUCGAG
rnacentral:sRNA from 1 species